AUCUUCGGAUCUAGUGGCGCACGGGUGCGUAACGCGUGGGAAUCUGCCCUUGGGUUCGGAAUAACGUCGGGAAACUGACGCUAAUACCGGAUGAUGACGAAAGUCCAAAGAUUUAUCGCCCAGGGAUGAGCCCGCGUAGGAUUAGCUAGUUGGUGAGGUAAAGGCUCACCAAGGCUACGAUCCUUAGCUGGUCUGAGAGGAUGAUCAGCCACACUGGGACUGAGACACGGCCCAGACUCCUACGGGAGGCAGCAGUAGGGAAUAUUGGACAAUGGGGGCAACCCUGAUCCAGCAAUGCCGCGUGAGUGAUGAAGGCCUUAGGGUUGUAAAGCUCUUUUACCCGAGAUGA
rnacentral:rRNA from 1 species